CAGUCGCCGCGGUAAUACGAAGGGGGCUAGCGUUGUUCGGAAUUACUGGGCGUAAAGCGCACGUAGGCGGAUAUUUAAGUCAGGGGUGAAAUCCCAGAGCUCAACUCUGGAACUGCCUUUGAUACUGGGUAUCUUGAGUAUGGAAGAGGUGAGUGGAAUUCCGAGUGUAGAGGUGAAAUUCGUAGAUAUUAGGAGGAACACCAGUGGCGAAGGCGACUCUCUGGUCUGUAACUGACGCUGAGGCGCGAAAGCGUGGGGAGCAAACAGGAUUAGAUACCCGCGUAGUCCCUGUCUCUUAUAC
rnacentral:rRNA from 1 species